rnacentral:tRNA from 1 species
CAAAUUAGAGCUUGAUUUAAAAAAGCAUUUCGUUUACAUUGAAAAGUUGUUGUGUGAUUCAAUAUAAUUUGA